rnacentral:tRNA from 1 species
GUUCUCGUAGUUGAAUACAACGGUGGUUUUUCAAGCCAUUAGUCCUGGUUAGAAAUCCGGGCGAGGAACU